rnacentral:rRNA from 1 species
GAUGAACGCUGGCGGCGUGCCUAAUACAUGCAAGUCGAGCGAACAGAUAAGGAGCUUGCUCCUUUGACGUUAGCGGCGGACGGGUGAGUAACACGUGGGUAACCUACCUAUAAGACUGGGAUAACUUCGGGAAACCGGAGCUAAUACCGGAUAAUAUUUCGAACCGCAUGGUUCGAUAGUGAAAGAUGGUUUUGCUAUCACUUAUAGAUGGACCCGCGCCGUAUUAGCUAGUUGGUAAGGUAUCGGCUUACCAAGGCGACGAUACGUAGCCGACCUGAGAGGGUGAUCGGCCACACUGGAACUGAGACACGGUCCAGACUCCUACGGGAGGCAGCAGUAGGGAAUCUUCCGCAAUGGGCGAAAGCCUGACGGAGCAACGCCGCGUGAGUGAUGAAGGUCUUCGGAUCGUAAAACUCUGUUAUUAGGGAAGAACAUACGUGUAAGUAACUGUGCACGUCUUGACGGUACCUAAUCAGAAAGCCACGGCUAACUACGUG